CCUGAAGAAAAAAAAAUGCAAUAAUUCAGAUUACAAUAAGACCAAAGCAACCAGUUCUUGUUCAUAAAAAAAGUAAAGAUUCAUGCGAGAGCAAGCAUACCAACUAAGAAGUAAAGAUUCAGAACAUUAUGGUUACUCCACAUGAUUCCGUAAAAUGAGAUUCUAUAUGAUAUUUGAUUAUAGUAUUAUAUAUAUGAAAAAAUGCAAUAAUUCAGAUUACAAUAAGACCAAAGCAACCAGUUCUUGUUCAUGAAAAAAAAGUAAAGAUUCAUGCGAGAGCAAGCAUAUCAACUAAGAAGUAAAGAUUCAGAACAUUAUGGUUACUUCAUGAUUCCGUAAAAUUGAUUCUAUAUGAUAUUUGAUUAUAGUAUUAUAUAUGAAAAAAAUGCAAUUAUUCAGAUUACAAUAAGACCAAAGCUUCGUAAAAAAAGGUAAAAGAUAACAUCAACGUAACCAGUG